rnacentral:rRNA from 1 species
GACGAACGCUGGCGGCGUGCCUAACACAUGCAAGUCGAACGAGAAUCGAUGGACGGCGACUUCGGUCAAAGGAAGUUGAGGAAAGUGGCGAACGGGUGAGUAACGCGUGAGGAACCUACCUUUCAGUGGGGGACAACAGUUGGAAACGACUGCUAAUACCGCAUAAUGUAUCGAGAAGGCAUCUUCUUGAUACCAAAGCUUUAUGUGCUGAAAGAUGGCCUCGCGUCUGAUUAGCUAGUUGGUGGGGUAACGGCUCACCAAGGCGACGAUCAGUAGCCGGUCUGAGAGGAUGAACGGCCACAUUGGGACUGAGAUACGGCCCAGACUCCUACGGGAGGCAGCAGUGGGGAAUAUUGGGCAAUGGGGGGAAACCCUGACCCAGCAACGCCGCGUGAAGGAAGAAGGCCCUUCGGGUUGUAAACUUCUUUUAGUCAGGGACGAAGGACGU